rnacentral:tRNA from 1 species
GUCGCCGGCGCCGGGGGUGAUCGGGGUGCAGACGACGCACCUGGCCGGGUCGGUGCGCCCGGCGCCCGCGUUCGACGUGCGCGGCGAUCC